CGCUUGCAGACUUAAUCUGUCAGUUUCUCCUUGUAAAUAGGUGAUUGCUGCUGCACGUUGCUUGGCAGUUACAUGUUAUACGUAUCGAGACGUUAGACGACUUUCGUGUGUCUGCUAUUUAGCCAGCAGUGCCGUACUGGCCAAUUGGUGAUCUACUUCGCUAAAUCGUCAAUUCACCGAGUAUAUACAAAAGAAAACACAAUUGGUCAGGUUAGAUAUAUUUAUUAGGUAAAACAUCAAGUGUAUUAGUUUUUAACGGUAUUAUUCAGCACAAUUCACAACAUUCCGAGACUCUUCUUUUCCAAGCCAGUUGGAAACUAAGUCGGUAAGGCGUCAUCUUUGUUGACGUCAAAGCGUUUGAAACUUCAAGUAACAUAUGGUAAAACUGAUCUAUAGUUGAAAGCUUUACAUUUCACACGCGCUACAUGGCACAAGCCGCUUUUCGGGAAAGUUUGCGGAAUAAUUGCACUGACGAAAUAAUGAAAUUUGAAACGUCGAGUAUUCGUUAUCUAGGCUAUUUCCAGAAGUCUACAAAUGAAAUUGAAGUUCCAAACCCUCCGGCGAAUGGCGUACCGUUCGAUUUGACGCCAGAACUUGGCGCUUUGGGUUCUUUCUGUUGCGACGCAUUGUUUUGCGACACGGAUCCAGCAGGAUGCGUCUGUUCCGUAACAGGAGAACGUUUUCCGCUUUGGGGCGAAAGGUACGAAGAACCAAAUAGCCCGGAAGUUCCAGGUGAGAUUUGUUUCCCCCCGGAAUUGCUCUUUACGUUUGGUGCUCGAUAUUGUACGUAAUUCCCUGACGUUGAUGGUCCGGCUUUCCCGCCUGGCCCAGGUGGGCCACGUUCUCCAGGCCGACCGGGAGGUCCUGGUGAACCGUCUUUACCUGCUUUCCCAGGUCCACUCUUUCCCUCUGGACCUGCUUUGCCUGGUGGACCUACGGGGCCUGCUUUUCCUUGUGGCCCUGCAGGUCCUAUGUGACCGAUAUGUCCUAUUUGGCCUGGAUGUCCAGGAGACCCAGUAAAACCGGG